AUUUGAAUGAAUUUUUUAAGUUCGAUUGAUUUAAAACACGCGUCGAAAUUUUUUUAGCAUAUAACGCCUUUAUUUUUCGUAUUUCGUUGCUAUAGUGAGUGCUGGUAUCGUAACGAACCGAACCGAUACCUAACAAAUUCCCAUUGCGAAGCGCGGGGGAAACCCACGAUUUUUCCAAGUUAAAGAAGAACGCAUGAAAUCUAAUCUUUGUUAUCUUUCAUGAGUUUAUUUUACAGUUUCUUUGUGGGCAACCAUUUUUAUAUGAAUUCCGGUACAUGAAAAGAAGAACUCCAGUGGGGUGAUUUUGGGCAAAGGUGAGGAAGAUCACAGCAGAUUUAGACCAUUAAGCUACAGAGGUGCAAACAUAUGUGUUAGCUUUUUCUCUAAUUAGUCGGGCAAGCUAUGAGAAUGUUUUAAAAAGGUUCCAACUACAACACAGAAGCUGAACUCAUGUGAAAAAGAGCUACUGCAGUUGUAGCUAAAUAAGGGAGUAAAGAUAUGGUCAUAGGUAACUACUAAGUAACUUAUCCCACGUGAAGACGCAAAGUUUAACAAAUGGGUAUUCAUGAAACAAACAACUACCAACAUGAUGAUGAAGAAUGCAAGAAACAAAGAAUUCACCUUUGAAAGUUGUUGCAGCGUGCGUUCCUCAAGACUUCAUGGUUGUAGAAAAAGGAGAGAACACAAAUAAAAAAAAUGUCGAAAUAAAAAGAGAUGGCUAAUCGGCUUUUGUUUAUAAUUUUGUGGCAGUCACAAAAACAAACACGUCUGACCAAAAAAUUAUGAACAUUUUUAUUUGUUUAUAAAAUGCUUACCUCUUGAC